rnacentral:rRNA from 1 species
UACGUAGGGCGCAAGCGUUGUCCGGAUUUAUUGGGCGUAAAGAGCUCGUAGGCGGUUUGUCGCGUCUUCCGUGAAAACUGGGGGCUUAACUUCCAGCUUGCGGUGGAUACGGGCUGACUGGAGUGCGGCAGGGGAGACUGGAAUUCCUGGUGUAGCGGUGAAAUGCGCAGAUAUCAGGAGGAACACCUGUGGCGAAAGCGGCUCACUGGACCACAACUGACGCUGAUGCGCGAAAGCUAGGGGAGCAAACAGG